CCCGCCUUAGCUCAGUUGGAAGAGCGCGAGACUGUAAUGGUUCCCUAAAUAUCUCGAUGCCACCCGUUCGAUCCGGGUAGGCGGGA